rnacentral:rRNA from 1 species
UGGGGAAUAUUGGACAAUGGGGGCAACCCUGAUCCAGCAAUGCCGCGUGUGUGAAGAAGGUCUUCGGAUUGUAAAGCACUUUCGACGGGGACGAUGAUGACGGUACCCGUAGAAGAAGCCCCGGCUAACUUCGUGCCAGCAGCCGCGGUAAUACGAAGGGGGCUAGCGUUGCUCGGAAUGACUGGGCGUAAAGGGCGUGUAGGCGGUUUACACAGUCAGAUGUGAAAUCCCCGGGCUUAACCUGGGAGCUGCAUUUGAUACGUGUAGACUAGAGUGUGAGAGAGGGUUGUGGAAUUCCCAGUGUAGAGGUGAAAUUCGUAGAUAUUGGGAAGAACACCGGUGGCGAAGGCGGCAACCUGGCUCAUGACUGACGCUGAGGCGCGAAAGCGUGGGGAGCAAACAGGAUUAGAUACCCUGGUAGUCCACGCUGUAAAACGAUGUGUGCUAGAUGUUGGG